GUGAAAGAUAUAUUGUUGUCAGAAAAAGAACUCUCUGCUAAUGUCAAACAGGCCAUUGACAACAUUUCUUGAUGGGUGGUUGAGUUAUGUCAGAGCACAUUUACACUGAAAGAAAGAAGAGAAAACUCGGAGAAGAAGAAUAGAGAUCAAAUCCAAAUGAUUCCAUAGGUUCCCAAAUGGACUUAAGAACCCUUUAAGAAUAAUAUUUAGAACACUUGCAGAUCCAGAGGCUAUGGGUAAUCAAAGUUGUAGGACAAUAAAAGUAAGUGUGGGGGUGUGGGUGUUGGUGUGGGGGUGGCAGGGGGCAGAUACCUAGUAUAAAACCAUAAUCCCAGCUCUUUAAGGCUCUAUUAUGUUUUGUUUUUCAGGAAAAAAGGCUCAAACUUCUCAAAGCUCUGGGCUGCUACAAGUUCAGCAGGAUCAUUUCAGUCUUUAUCACAUACAGAAUAAGAAAUUAAACUCUAACCUGUUGACUGUGUGAAUGCUUUCAGGAAGAGGAAUAUAUAAGGCCUUCCCUGACUACCAGCUGUAUUCCUCACUAAACUGCAAAGAAAUGGUGGAAGUACCUCAGCUUCACCUGUGAGAAGGCCCCUUCCAUGUAAAUACUUGGUUCAUUGCCAGAUUUGGAUAAAAACAGCAGAGAUGGCAGCCCCUUCUGAGGGUGUGUCCUUAAAUGGGAGAUGGGGAAGAUGAGAUACCACUGUCAAAUAAGAGAGAGAAGACAAAGAACAGAUAUAAUAGAAGAAGGACACAUUCAUGGGCAGCAUGGGCAAGUGUGCACAGCUGUUGGGAGAAUACCAAGCAUUUAAAGAGCACUUUACAUUUCCAGAGCGCUGUGUAAAUAUAACAUUAAUCCUUGUUGCAUCCCUGUUAGGGAGUGGAACACAAGGGAUUGUAUCUACUGGUUAGAAC
rnacentral:lncRNA from 1 species